CCAUCCAUCUCCCUCCCUGCAUGCCUCCCUCGCCGUCCUGCCUCUUUCUCCUGCCUCCUAUCGCCUCUUUCUGCUUCUCCAAGCAAAACGGAGGCGCCACACCAUCGUCUGUGGAUCCACAUGCUAAAGUCUGACCUAAAUACUUCAGGUUUUUGAUGAUUGGACCAAAACAGAGAUCAGAGGCGUCCGGCGGGCUUGUCGUGAUAGUGGAGGGAAGGGAGGGAGGCUGAGGAUCCGGACACACUCAAAGAGAGAUGCUGGUACUUACCACACUUCAUAACUGUACAACACGGAGCUCAUAAACCAGUCAAACCUUAUCCUCACAGACUGCUGAAUUCAUCAUCUUAAAUCUUACUCAAAGCCUUACCUUUCACCCUGCCGUGAGAUGAAAAAGCUGUAGCGUAUCAGCUCUGUGCCCUCCACCAAGCCACCACUAAUCCAGGCCCGGGCGGGAGGGGUCUGUCAUUCACAUGCUUGGAGGGGACACCAGAGAACCUUUGACCUUGGCUUGUGACCACACCUUGAGAUUGAAGAGCCAGUAAUGCAGCGAUGGCAGCCGGCCCACCAGUUAAUGAUCUGCUUCUUCCUUUUUCCAGCUUAAUACAGAUCCAUACUGCUCACCACCAUCGCAGCACUGACACAUGCACACACACACAUUGUCUUUGUACCAAACACACGCACGCACAUGAACACUGUUGGGGCAGGAAACAUAGAGGUCAAAGAACGCCUCACCAGUUUUCUAAGUGCACCCAUUCAUUUUUCAUUUAAUGAUGUGAGGGGAUGUGAAAGGUGUAAGCACCGUGAUGAAGUCCCCUUCAAUUCCACCGCCUGCUCCUCUGUCCUGCAGGACAAGAAAUAAGGACGGGCAGCUCUGACCAGAAGUUUUGAAACUCUUUCAAAAUGUUUCAGUCAGGAUGAAGUACUGCACUGCUUCCUCAGCUGAAUUUUAGUCAUCAGUGUUGAAAGAUGAAUUUUCUAGUUCAUCACAAAAGUAAUACAUUUAGCUGUUACACGAUAGUAGUGAGAUUUGUUUUGUACACAUCAAUGAAAUCAUGCAGAAGAAAGUUUGAAUUCCAGCACAAGACUUACCCAAUCCUUAACAAAGGUGUAAGAUCGAAACACUGCAUUUUAUUCAGUUGCAAAGACUGAAAAUGAUAAGUACAGAUAUUUUGGGGGGCCCUGGUGGGGGCAACAGCAAUGUUGCUAGGUACGCGCCCUACAUCUCUGACGCAAUAAAAUCCAAAAGGACACAGUAAACAUACUAUCAACGCAUCGAUGGGACGCACCCUAUUUUUUCCCUGACAAUGCUACAUUGUCAACAACAAAUGCGUGUGGAAAUCAUAUAAAUAAACUAAAGAAAUCUUGCUGUCAAAAAACUUG